rnacentral:rRNA from 1 species
AGUCGACGAGAGGACAUGGGAAGCUUGCUUCCUAUGAAAUCGAGUGGCAAACGGGUGAGUAACGCGUAAACAACCUGCCCUUCGGAUGGGGAUAACAGCCGGAAACGGCUGCUAAUACCGAAUACGAUCUUUUCGUCGCAUGACGGAAAGAAGAAAGGAUGGCCUCUAUACAAAGCUAUCGCCGAAGGAGGGGUUUGCGUCUGAUUAGCUGGUUGGAGGGGUAACGGCCCAACAAGGCGAUGAUCAGUAGCCGGUCUGAGAGGAUGAACGGCCACAUUGGGACUGAGACACGGCCCAGACUCCUACGGGAGGCAGCAGUGGGGAAUCUUCCGCAAUGGACGAAAGUCUGACGGAGCAACGCCGCGUGAGUGAAGAAGGUCUUCGGAUUGUAAAGCUCUGUUAUACGGGACGAAAAAGACGGAUGCCAACAGUAUCCGUCCGUGACGGUACCGUAAGAGAAAGCCACGGCUAACUACGUGCCAGCAGCCGCGGUAAUACGUAGGUGGCAAGCGUUGUCCGGAAUUAUUGGGCGUAAAGGGCGCGCAGGCGGUUCGGUAAGUCUGUCUUAAAAGUGCGGGGCUUAACCCCGUGAGGGGACGGAAACUGUCGAACUUGAGUGUCGGAGAGGAAAGCGGAAUUCCUAGUGUAGCGGUG